rnacentral:rRNA from 1 species
AUUAAGUUGGGGACUCUAGCGAGACUGCCAGUGAUAAACUGGAGGAAGGUGGGGAUGACGUCAAAUCAUCAUGCCCCUUAUGACCUGGGCUACAAACGUGAUACAAUGGCUGGAACAAAGGGAUGCGAAGCAGUGAUGUGGAGCGAAACCCAUAAAAACAGUCUCAGUUCGGAUUGAAGUCUGCAACUCGACUUCAUGAAGUCGGAAUCGCUAGUAAUCGCGGAUCAGAACGCCGCGGUGAAUACGUUCUCGGGGUUU